UCUGCUCAAUGAUUUUUUAAAUUGCUGUGGUAUUUUGACUAUACAAAGGUAUUGUAAUAAGAUUUUAAUUGAAUGCUAAAAGAAUGGAAAUUUAAAAAAAAACUUUUUUAAAAAUAAAAAUUGAAUUUUUUUUAAUUUGUGCAAAAACAAUUAUAUUUAUUAAAGACAAGAAGACCCUAAGAAUUUAAGAUUUUACAAUUAAAAAGUUUUUUUUUAAAAUCUUGAUUGGGGCGAUCAAAAAAUAUUAAUAACUUUUUAAAAUUUAAAUUGAUCUAUUAUUAAUAAACUAAUGAAUUAAAUACUCUAGGGAUAACAGCGUAAUAAUUUUUGAUAGAUCUUAUUGACAAAAUAGUUUGCGACCUCGAUGUUGGAUUAGGAUUCUUUUUUAAUGAAGACUUAUCUAUAUAUUUAUGUAUUUCU
rnacentral:rRNA from 1 species